rnacentral:rRNA from 1 species
CAGCAGCCACGGGAAUACGAGGGGGGCAAGCGUUGUUCGGAAUUAUUGGGCGUAAAGGGUGCGUAGGCGGCUUGACAAGUCUUGUGUGAAAUCUAUGGGCUCAACCCAUAGUCUGCACGGGAAACUGUCGGGCUUGAGAAUGGGAGAGGUGAGUGGAAUUUCCGGUGUAGCGGUGAAAUGCGUAGAUAUCGGAAGGAACACCUGUGGCGAAAGCGGCUCACUGGACAAUUACUGACGCUGAUGCACGAAAGCUAGGGGAGCAAACAGGAUUAGAUACCCGCGUAGUCCCUGUCUCUUAUAC